AUACGUAGGUGGCAAGCGUUGUCCGGAAUUACUGGGUGUAAAGGGCGUGUAGGCGGGGUAUUAAGUCAGAUGUGAAAUUCCAGGGCUCAACUCUGGAGCUGCAUCUGAAACUAAAACUCUUGAGUGCUGGAGAGGAAAGCGGAAUUCCUAGUGUAGCGGUGAAAUGCGUAGAUAUUAGGAGGAACACCAGUGGCGAAGGCGGCUUUCUGGACAGUAACUGACGCUGAGGCGCGAAAGCGUGGGGAGCAAACAGGAUUAGAUACCCUGGUAGUCCACGCUGUAAACGAUGGAUACUAGGUGUAGGAGGUAUCGACCCCUUCUGUGCCGGAGUUAACACAAUAAGUAUCCCACCUGGGGAGUACGGCCGCAAGGUUGA
rnacentral:rRNA from 1 species